rnacentral:rRNA from 1 species
GCUUGCUGGGGGAUUAGUGGCGAACGGGUGAGUAACACGUGAGUAACCUGCCCUUGACUCUGGGAUAAGCCUGGGAAACUGGGUCUAAUACCGGAUAUGACUCCUCAUCGCAUGGUGGGGGGUGGAAAGCUUUUGUGGUUUUGGAUGGACUCGCGGCCUAUCAGCUUGUUGGUGGGGUAAUGGCCUACCAAGGCGACGACGGGUAGCCGGCCUGAGAGGGUGACCGGCCACACUGGGACUGAGACACGGCCCAGACUCCUACGGGAGGCAGCAGUGGGGAAUAUUGCACAAUGGGCGCAAGCCUGAUGCAGCGACGCCGCGUGAGGGAUGACGGCCUUCGGGUUGUAAACCUCUUUCAGUAGGGAAGAAGCGUAAGUGACGGUACCUGCAGAAGAAGCGCCGGCUAACUACGUGCCAGCAGCCGCGGUAAUACGUAGGGCGCAAGCGUUAUCCGGAAUUAUUGGGCGUAAAGAGCUCGUAGGCGGUUUGUCGCGUCUGCUGUGAAAGACCGGGGCUCAACUCCGGUUCUGCAGUGGGUACGGGCAGACUAGAGUGCAGUAGGGGAGACUGGAAUUCCUGGUGUAGCGGUGAAAUGCGCAGAUAUCAGGAGGAACACCGAUGGCGAAGGCAGGUCUCUGGGCUGUAACUGACGCUGAGGAGCGAAAGCAUGGGGAGCGAACAGGAUUAGAUACCCUGGUAGUCCAUGCCGUAAACGUUGGGCACUAGGUGUGGGGGACAUUCCACGUUUUCCGCGCCGUAGCUAACGCAUUAAGUGCCCCGCCUGGGGAGUACGGCCGCAAGGCUAAAACUCAAAGGAAUUGACGGGGGCCCGCACAAGCGGCGGAGCAUGCGGAUUAAUUCGAUGCAACGCGAAGAACCUUACCAAGGCUUGACAUGAACCGGAAAGACCUGGAAACAGGUGCCCCGCUNGCGGUCGGUUUACAGGUGGUGCAUGGUUGUCGUCAGCUCGUGGUCGUGAGAUGUUGGGGUUAAGUCCCCGCAACGAAGCGCAACCCUUCGUUCUAUGGUUGCCAG